rnacentral:hammerhead_ribozyme from 1 species
AUCCAAUUGACGAGUCCCUAAUAGGACGAAAUGUUCGUUAUCCUGGAU